rnacentral:rRNA from 1 species
AUUGAACGCUGGCGGCAGGCCUAACACAUGCCAGUCGAGCGGAGGAAGGGAGCUUGCUCCUGGAUUCAGCGGCGGACGGGUGAGUAAUGCCUAGGAAUCUGCCUGGUAGUGGGGGAUAACGUCCGGAAACGGGCGCUAAUACCGCAUACGUCCUGAGGGAGAAAGUGGGGGAUCUUCGGACCCCACGCUAUCAGAUGAGCCUAGGUCGGAUUAGCUCGCUGGUGGGGUGAAGGCCUACCAAGGCGACGAUCCGCAACUGGUCUGAGAGGAUGAUCAGUCACACUGGAACUGAGACACGGUCCAGGCUCCUACGGGAGGCAGCAGUGGGGAAUAUUGGACAAUGGGCGAAAGCCUGAUCCAGCCAUGCCGCGUGUGUGAAGAAGGUCUUCGGAUUGUAAAGCACUUUAAGUUGGGAGGAAGGGCAGUAAGUUAAUACCUUGCUGUUUUGACGUUACCAACAGAAUAAGCACCGGCUAACUUCGUG